rnacentral:misc_RNA from 1 species
ACACCUCAACUCCUCAUGGUUUGCCAUGAUGAGCUUGGACCUUGGGGGUAUUGCUGGCCCUGUGGUUGGCUCCUCUCAAAUGGAUCAGCUUGCCAGUGUUUGGUGGCAUCACGGGUGUGAUAAAUAUCUACGCUUGUGGUUUUCCACCGUGUAACCUCCAGUGAUGAAGGUGCGCUGGAGCUCACAAAUGUCCCUCCUCAGCGAGGACAGCUUUUGAAC